ensembl:lncRNA
AAAAAUAAUAAAUUGUUCAUUUUGUACGUUUGUGUUAUUUUAUUUCUCACUAUAAAAAUAUAUUGCUUUUAUUAUAUAUGUAUAAAUAUAUAUAUAUAUAUAUAUAUAUAUAUAUAUAUAUUAAUUUUUUUUUUUUUUUUUUUUUUUGUAUGUCCCUUACAACAAGAAGCUUUGUAAUGAAAGAAGUAAUUCAAUUUUCAAUAAAAAAUUUAUAAGAUCACUAUCAGAACCAUUUAAUCUAUAUGAUGAAGAAAAAGAAACAACACCAUUUACACUUCUAAAAAAUGUAAAUGUUGAAACAGGGCUGAGAGAUUCUUCUCCGUCUGAUAUUGAUACAAUUGACGAUUUUGGUAAAUAUUUUUUUACACAUGAAGAUGAUGAUAAAAAAAGUGAUGCAAAUAGUGAAUUAAAAAAGGAAUCUGAACAAACACAGAUUAUGUCAGAAUAUGUAACAUCAACUGAUAAUGAACAAACAGAUAUAACAGUCCCUGAAUAUUCUAGAAAACGUAGAAUACAUGAUCAAAGAAAUGUAAACGAUGGAAUGGAAUAUAAAAAAUCACCCUAUUUGAGAAAGCACAGAACAUCAAGAAAAAAUUCAAAAUUAUUGCAUACGGCAACAGAAAAUAAAGAUGGUGAAAGUGAUAAUUAUAAAGAAGUUGACGAUGUGUAUGAAAGUGAAGAUGGGGAUGAUGAUGAAGAUAUUGAUGAGACAUACUUAAAUGAACAGGACGAAAGCACAAAUAAAGAUGAGGAAAAUGUCAAAGAAAAAGAAGAAAAAGAAGAUAUAACAGAGGAAGAAAUAAAAGAAGACAAAAAAGAGGAAGAAAUAAAAGAGGAAAUGAAAGAGGAAGAAAUAAAAGAAAAAAUGAAAGAGGAAGAAAUAAAAGAAGAAAUGAGAGAAGAUGAAACCAAAGAAGAAGAUAAAAAAGAAGAAACAACAGAAGAAAUAAAAAAAGAAGAAAAAGACACAAAAGAAGAAGACAAAAAAGAGGAAGAAAUAAAAGAGGAAGAAAUAAAAAAAGAUGAAAUAAAAGAAGAUAAAAUAAAAGAAGAAAUGAGAGAAGAUGAAACAAAAGAAAAAGAAACAACAGAAGAAAUAAAAGAAGAAAAAAUAAAAGAAAAAACAACAGAAGAAAUAAAAGAAGAAGAAAUAAAAGAAAAAACAACAGAAGAAAUAAAAGAAGAAGAAAUAAAAGAAGAAACAACAGAAGAAAUAAAAGAAGAAGAAAAAGACACAAAAGCAGAAGAAACAACAGAAGAAAUAAAAGAAGAAAUAAAAGAGGAAGAAAUAAAAGAAGAAGAAAUAAACAAAGAAGAAAUAAAAGAAGAAACAACAGAAGAAAUAAAAGAAGAAGAAAUAAAAGAAGAAGAAACAACAGAAGAAACAAAAGAAGAAACAACAGA